AGGAUCCUUUGAUUUAACCCCAUUCAUCACACUUCAUAAUGUGUUGUUUGUUCCUUCUUUCAAAUACAACUUAAUCUCUGUCCAUAAACUGAUAAAGUAGUUGCACUGCAUAGUCUUGUUUACUGCUACUUCCUGUUUUCUUCACAUGUUACAGGCCCCUUCUAUGAGGAUGCCUCUGGAUCUUGGUAAGGAGGAGAAUGGUGUGUACAAGCUUGCUUGGAUGCCAUCCUCACAUUCCUCUUCUAGUUGUUGCAAGCCUGUUUCUGUGUGUUCCUAUUCUGAUUCUUAUAAUUCUGUUUGUGCCUCUAGCUCUAAAGCUGUUUCUUUGCCUUCCACUGUAAAUAACUCCAUUUGUAAUAAUGCUAGUGGAAGUGACAUGAACUUCAUUUGGCACUUAAGACUUGCUCACAUUCCUUUUGCAAAUAUGAAACAUAUUUCUCCCUUGUCUCUUUCCCUUGCUUCUAAACAAUCAUUUCCUUGUUCUAUUUGUCCUAUGGCUAGGCAAACUAGGCUUGCUUUCCCUGAUAGUUCCAUCAGUACAAGCAAACCUUUCUAAUUAAUUCAUGUAGAUACUUGGGGUCUUUACCACACACCAAUAUUUCUUUCCCUGAUAGUACCAUCAGUACAAGCAGACUUUUCCAAUUAAUCCAUGUAGAUACUUGGGGCCCUUACCACACACCAACUUCCUCUGUAUCAAGAUAUUUCCUUACAAUAGAUGAUGAUUUUUCUAGGGCAACCUGGACACAUCUAUUGGGAUCUAAGGGCAAUGCCUUUUGCAUGAUCAAGUCCUUCCUAUCCAUGGUUAAAACUGAGUUUGGUACUACUAUCCAAACUAUAAGAAGUGAUAAUGCCUUUGAAUUAGGGUCCAGCCUUGAUGGGGCUUCUUUCUUCAAUCAACAGGGUAUUAUUCAUCAAACUACCGGUCCCCACACUUCUCAACAAAAUGGUGUUGUUGAAAGAAACCACAGAACACUUCUUGAAGCUUGUAGAGCUUUACUUUUUCAAUCGAAACUACCUGUAUCAUUAUUGGGGGACUGUUUAUUAACUUCCACAUACCUGCUUAAUAGGAUACCAUCCAGGAUUCUUCAAAACAGAUCUUCUUAUGAAGUGCUAUAUGGUAAGACUCCCAAUUACUCACAUUUGAGGGCAUUUGGUUGUCUUGCCUAUGCUACUGUCCCCAUUCCACAAAGAGAUAAACUAAAAUCUAGGGCAGUUUCAUGCGUUUUUCUAGGAUAUCCUUUUGCCAAAAAGGGUUACAAGUUGUAUGAUCUAGUUUCCAAAAAAUAUUUUGUGUCCAGGGAUGUUGUGUUUCAUGAGACAUGUUUUCCUUUUGCAACUAAUUCUGAUAUUACCUCUGGUUCAUCUAUAUUUUCUUUUCCACCUCCUAUUGUACCUUUUUCUGAUUACCAAGAUUCUGGGACACAACUUUCUGUCCCACCUUGCUCACAUGUUCCCUCUCAUUCUGAAUCUUUUUCUUCUAGUUCCAGCUAUGGUCCUUCUUUUCCUUUUGACUCCACACCCUCUGAACCUCUUCCUUCUCCAUCCUUCAAUCCUGAUAUUCCACCUCAUACUGUUUCUUCCUCUCCACAACCUCAUAUCAACAAAAGAUCUAGCAGACAACACACCACUCCUUCUUAUCUCAAAGACUAUGUGUGUCACCUACCUUCCUUUUCUGGAUCUUAUUCCUCUACUUCCAGUCUGGAAUCUGAACCUCUUUAUUAUUCUCAAGCUGCCACAGUUCUAGCUUGGCAGGAUGCCAUGAGAAAGGAGUUUGAUGCAUUGGAUGCUGACCACACUUGGGAUGUUGUUCCCCUUCCUCCUGGUAAGAAACCCAUAGGUUGCAAGUGGGUCUAUAAGAUAAAAUAUAGAGCUGAAGGCAGUGUUGAAAGGUAUAAAGCUAGGCUUGUUAUUGGAGGAGACAAGCAGGUUGAGGGGGUUGAUUUCACUGAAAUUUUUUUCCCUAUGAUUAAGAUGACUACUGUCAACAUUGCUGUAGCUGUUAAGAAACAUUGGGAUCUUUUUCAACUUGAUGUAAACAAUGCCUUCUUGCAUGGUGACCUAGAUGAGGAAGUGUAUAUGAAGCUACCUCCAGGUUUAAACAUUUCUACUCCUACUGUUUCUUCUGUUUCCACUCCCUUUAUGUGCAAAUUGAAGAAGUCACUCUAUGGGUUAAGACAGGCUUCAAGACAAUGGUAUGCCAAAUUGUCUCAAUCUCUGUAUUCCAUAGGUUAUAUCCACUCUUUGAAUGAUUACUCUUUGUUUAUAAAGGUCAGCCUGGCUGUCUUGUGCUGCUGGUAGUGUAUGUGGAUGAUAUCAUUAUCACUGGAGAUGAUACCACUGAAAUUACUGGCCUAAAACAUUUCUUGGAUGAUCAGUUUAGAAUCAAAGACCUGGGGUCUUUGCAUUAUUUUCUGGGAAUCGAGGUGUCUACCGUUCCUAGUGGUGUACUUCUUAAUCAAAAGAAAUUUGUCUCUGACUUGUUGCAGCAAUUUGACUGCCCUGCAGUUUCUCCUGUCACUUGUCUUCUAGACCUUAAUACCAAACUGCAUGCUAAUUCUGGUGAUCUCUUCCCUUCUCCUGACAAGUAUAGAAGCCUCAUUGUGAAGCUUCUAUUUUUGACACAUACCAGACCUGAUAUUUGCUUUGCCGUACAAUAUUUAAUCCAGUUCUUGAAGUCCCCUAGAUUACCUCACAUGUCUGUUGCCCUGCAUGUUCUUAUGUAUCUUAAGGGAACUAUGGAUUUGGGGCUUUUCUAUUCUAACUCUCCUGAUUUUUCUGUACAUGCCUUUUCAGACAGUGACUGGGCAGCUUGCCCUGAUACUCGCAGAUAUGUCACUGGUUUCUGUGUGAUAUUAGGGGGCAGCUUGAUAAGUUGGAAGUCCAAAAAACAACCAGUGGUGUCAUUAUCUUCUGCUGAGGCAUAGUACAGGGCACUUAGCAAGGUGGUUGCUGAAUUGUCUUGGUUUUCCAGAUUACUCACUAACCUUGGUGUUUCAGUAUCUCUUCCUUUUUCUAUAUUCUGUGAUUACCAGGCUGCUUUACUUAUAGCCAGGAAUCCAGUUUUCAUGAGCGGACCAAGCACAUUGAGGUUGAUUGUCACUUUGUCCGGACUAAACUUUCUGAUGGGCUGAUUUCUCUAUCUCAUGUUUUCACUUCUCAACAGUUAGCUGAUGUUCUGACCAAACCUUUGCCUGGCACUGUUCAUCAUGACCUUUUGCGCAAGUUGAAGGUGGUUUCCCCCUCCAACUUGAGGGGGAGGGGGGGGGGGUGUUGGGCUAAUGGACUAUUUAGCCUCCAAACCCAAGCAUAAACACUGAUUUCUUU
rnacentral:lncRNA from 1 species